UGCAAAACUUGCAGGUGUUUCUGUGUGACCUC
rnacentral:piRNA from 1 species